UUUAAUUAUGCACAUUACUUACGUGGCCUUAAAAGCCAUGUUAAAAUGCCACAUUAAGGCUGCGGAGACUGAAUCACUGAUUUAUGUGGUUGGCUAACGGCGCUCCAGAUUUGUUACUGGACUCUUGAGCUCCCCGUCAACUUCCCUAUAUUCUGCACCAGAUGUAAGGUUUCCCAAAAAUGUUGUGAACUACGGCAGCAUUGUAACACGAGCUCCUUAAAAUGCCUACUGAAUGGCAUAAAUAUUUCGAAUAUUUUUAAAUGACUUGCAUUAGAAUACUAUGGCCUUUCCCUUAAAACACUGUCAUUAAAGUCUGCAGAUGAAGAGAAAAAUGAGGAAAAAACAAUUUUUUAAAAGACCACUGGAACCUCAGUCUGAAGGAUGGAAAAACUUGAUAAUGCUUUGAGUCUCAGGAGAAAAGGAGAAACUAGUUCAGCAAACUUCUCAAGUGGACAAGAAGAGGUGCACCCUGGCAAAGUGAGGAGGUGGUUUGCAUUAGAAAGGGCAUUUGGAGUUGCUGCAGAGGUGUGUUUGAGAGAAGCAUCAAUACCCACUCCUGAAGCAGCCACAGAAGUGAUGAGGAACAGGGUUAAGUUUCUGGCUGAAUCACACGUUGCCUAAUCCAGUUUGGGGGAACCUUUUCAUGUUUUCAAGCAUGGUCUCCAAAUAUGGAGCAACAUUAAAGGGAGAGAGGUGUGACAGCCCCCUAAUGAUCCGUGUCACAAGAGCAAGUGAAAUUAAAAUCUGAACCUGAGUCAGCCAGAGAGAGCUACAUUAAGUAAAACUUCUACAGGACCUGUUAUUCAGUCUGUAGGAUUUAUUUCUAUCAAAUUCAGUGAGAGCAAAGAGUUUGGUUGCUUUACUGUCCUGGACACUCCAGCAUGCAUUUAUUACUCCUGGCCUGGAGAUUGCCUUCCUGGCCUUUCAGGAGACACAGAACAUGGCAGAAUGAGAGAAGAGGAGCAAGGAAGCAUCAUAAAUAGUGAAAAGACACCAGAAAUCAAGAAGGAGGGGAUUGUAAUGGGAAUGUACACAAGAAGAGCAAAGCCCAUCUGCUUGGUAUAUUAAUGCUGGCACUCCUGUUGAAGCGCUUCACCUCAGUUCUCAAAAGCACCAGCAAUAGGAGUGAAGAAACAAAAGUGAAGUGAAACCAUAAUGCUGCCAGUUCAGGGGAACCAGAGAUGUAGAAAUGCUGGACAUGUUUAGUCAAGGUUUCAGAUGGCUUGGCUUGAUUAGACAAAUCACGCUGAGAUAACAUGCUCAGUCAACGCUUCCUAUCCUGAGUUACAAGAACAAAGACAUGAUGAAACCACAGUGCCUCAGAAACCACACCUCUUUGUACAUGUGACAGGUGGCUGCACAGUUAUGGUAAGCCGAUGAUUUUGGAAAAGAAGCCUCCAUCUCCAUAAUGGUAACCAUCUCCAGUAACUUUCUGCAAAACCAUUGCUUGUCGUAACACAAUAACAGCUACAAUUCAAUAAAAAUUUCAUUCCUUUCAAGGAGUUAAUGCUCCAA